AGUUUCAGAUUUGAUAGUUAAUCAUGCAUAAAAGUUUUAGCAUAAUUGUUUAAACGAUUUCGGCAUAAUCCUAUGUGUUCUUAAUGUGUUGAUUUCUAGAUUUGAUCUUGUAAGCAUGCAUGAAUUAAAUUGUUUGAUUCAUUUUUCCGCUGCAUUUUUGAAACUUAAAAAGAAUUACGUGUGGCUUGAUCCCCCUUGUGAAGGGGUACGUAGGCAACCCGAUUAGGUUCAGCCAUGGUUUUCAAAAAAAAA
rnacentral:lncRNA from 1 species